rnacentral:rRNA from 1 species
UUAAAUUGAAGAGUUUGAUCAUGGCUCAGAUUGAACGCUGGCGGCAGGCCUAACACAUGCAAGUCGAACGGUAACAGGAAGCAGCUUGCUGCUUUGCUGACGAGUGGCGGACGGGUGAGUAAUGUCUGGGAAACUGCCUGAUGGAGGGGGAUAACUACUGGAAACGGUAGCUAAUACCGCAUAACGUCGCAAGACCAAAGAGGGGGACCUUCGGGCCUCUUGCCAUCGGAUGUGCCCAGAUGGGAUUAGCUAGUAGGUGGGGUAACGGCUCACCUAGGCGACGAUCCCUAGCUGGUCUGAGAGGAUGACCAGCCACACUGGAACUGAGACACGGUCCAGACUCCUACGGGAGGCAGCAGUGGGGAAUAUUGCACAAUGGGCGCAAGCCUGAUGCAGCCAUGCCGCGUGUAUGAAGAAGGCCUUCGGGUUGUAAAGUACUUUCAGCGGGGAGGAAGGGAG